UCUAGCGGGUGGGACAGACCCUAGGCUAGCAGGCCUCAGGGAGAACUCCAAUGGCGUCUGUGUCAGCACGCCCACCCCAGGCCACAACAAUGGCGGCCGCCAAUGUCCCAGUCCCUGGAGAGGUCUCACCCCUCACCGAGAUGCACUCAGGGCCUAUCAGAGCUAGAACUAAAUCCUGAGUCUUCGAGGCACCCAGUUCAUCAUCAUUGUCAUCACACUGGCUGAUACACCUCGCCUGGUUGAUCUCUGGUUAUAGCAUUGGAUUCUGGAGAAGCCUGAAUGAUCCCAUAUAGUCUGUCCCAGGAUUGAGGAGGCCUGUUCCCCAGCUUUGCAACAAGAGCGCUGGUGUCCUGAGGCCAGCGUCACCGCGUGGAAGAGGCCCGCAUCGUCAGCGCUGCAUGCCUGCUAAUGAUGGCCACAAGAGGCCUUGAAGAGGUUUUCCACCAUCAUGCCUUCUUCCAACUGCAAUCUGUGCAGCCUGUGGCCGCUCUGCUUCCGGCUGCCUGGGCCCCAGAUGCUGUUAACAGACAAGGUCACCGGGAGAACCUCUGGCCAGCGUGACUCUGACUUCCCAAGAGAAGAUAAGUGACUGAUAAGGCCACGGAGAGGGGAGAGAGACACUUCUAAUUAACAGCUUGGAGCGGAAGACAGAGGGCUGCUCACAAAGGCGGGGUGCAGUGGUGCUGCUGCCCCUCCGUCUGCUUCCUGGCGUGGUCCUGGGGCGGGUUGAUGACCGUCCAUCUCGCUGAAGACCUCUAUGAAGCUAUCUCGAGCGGCGCUUCUGGGAGGAGCAGGGGCAAAUCCUGCCAGAGCUUUCUGAUACCAACUCCGUCCCGUGUGUUUUCUUGACUGUAGCCCUGAGGCUACAGCUCCACCCUACACUUAAAUGUAGUCCCAGAGGGGAAGCUACCUCUAAAUGGACUCUU